UCUUCGUCAGCAUGACCCGUCCGGCCUCCCGUAGCGAAGGAGAAUCGAGAAUCAUAACUCACACAUAAAGUGCAAAAGUGGGAGGGACGGAGGGACAAAUCUGUUAGUGGAGCAUUGGUCCCUGCAAUUAAUCAAACACCGUUUUCUUAAAAAAUAAAACAGCAAUCGUUGGCAAAUUUUCUUGGGAAAAAUAUAGUUCAGGACAAGCAGUUCUCGAAGUACUCCCAGUAUGGCUGAUUAUAUCGAUCAGAAUAGUUUACCUGGAGUUAAAGAAGUAUGCCGGGACUUCGCCUUGUUGGAGGAUCACUCGCUGGCGCAGAGUCUCCAGGACCAGGAGAUCGAGAGCCACUUGGCCUCCAACGUGCACAGGAGCCGGCUGAUGCAACAGGACCUGCGGGUUGCCAGGCGUCUGCAGCAGGAGGAGAACCUGCGGGCCAGCAUCCGAAGGCAGCAGGUCCACAAGGCCGUGGAGUGUCGUGACAGUGAAAUGGCCAUGGAGAUUCAGGAGGAGCUGGUGAAGCAGGAGAGGCAGAAUCGGCACCUGGAAGAGAAGGACGAGGCCUUUGCUCGUAAGCUCCAGGAAAAGGAGAUGAAGGAGCAGCGGAGGAGGAAGAAACAGAAGGAGCCUAUGAUUGAGGAGGAGUACUAUGAGGACCAAGCCAGCUGGGAUGGACAUGGAUCCGGCCAGUUCGGGUCCACGCUGCGGCAGCCGUCUCUGGACGCUGAGGCGGUAUGGCAGAAGGAGAAGCCGUCACGGCCGCCGCCACCGCAGUGGGACAGGGGCAAGGAAGCGGGCAGGGUGGCCCACCUUGAAUUACCACCUAAUAAGGACCCCUUGAUGAUGUGGGAUAUGGAUGAAGGAGCAGUUCCAAGCCGAGCAUAUGGGGAAUGGGAGGGGCCUUCAGUCAGCCACAGCAGACAAACCCAAAGACAGCCGUCCAGGUACCAGCAAUCAAAUCCAGUGCAGGGGGGAAGAGGAGACCUCUGGGAGCCCCAGCUGGACCUUGCCCUGUCUGGUCCUACUUCUCCAGAGGCCAGGUUCCCAAACCUUCCCCCUCGAGAUCCAGACAGGAAUGAGCAAGCACAUUAUGACAUCAUGGAGGUGACCCAGGGCUUGGACGACCUAGAUGUUCAAGAGGUCCGAGACAUGGAGGUGGCCAGAAGGAUACAGGAAGAGGAACUAAUGGUGAGGGCAAGUCGAGCCGAUAAACAAGCAGCUCAGGUGGCACAGGAUGAGGAAAUCGCUUGGUUAAUAAUGGAGGAAGAAGAGGAGAAAUACAAGAAGUGCAAGAAUCGGGAUAAAAGACUCUCAAAGAAAGACAGGAAGCUGCAACAGGAGGAUUGGACGCCCUUGCUGCAGGAGGAAUCUGAACACCUGAAAUCACAGAAACAGAGGCCUGAGAGCUCCGGAAUUGUAUAGCCUUUAUACCAGAGGGUGCCCAACACGUCGAUCACGACUGACCUCGGCCGGUGCCAAAAUAAACCAAAGGAGUCGCUUGACUGCAAAUUCCUGGGCUGCUUUUUGUUGCGAGUCCACCUCUGUGUAUUUGUGUGUACUAAGGAUGUCACAAUACCAGAAGUUUAGUACUUGAUACAAAUACCAGUGAAUUUCCAUGAUUCUAGAUACUAAUUGAAUACAAACAAAACAAAACAAUAAAUCCCAUGUACUUAGGCAUACACUUAUUUAUUAAAGUCAGCUGAAUAUGGCAAAAAACAACAGUGGCAUGUAGCCUUCAAGUAGGCUUGAUAAAUAUGAAGAAAUGACUAUUGAGAUAAUAUACAGAAAAUGCGGCACUCACCCGAAAAUGCUGUCUAAAAAUAGAAUACUGGGUCAGAAAUGGAAGGCAGAAGAAAUGACAUUAAUUAAACACAGAUAAGGCAUUUAUUUACGCAUUUAUUUACAGUUGUAAAAUUCAAUUUAAAUUUAAAGGCCUUGUAAAAUCAAAGGCAACAAAGUGGCAAUUGUGUCUCCAAUUGCAACUAACUUAAGGAAAUGUAGGUCAGUAACUUAGAAGAUAUGUUGUCGGACAAGUCACUAGAAACAAAUUUUUUUAGUUACAAAACAAACCGCAAAAUCAUUUAUGGCAGCACAAAAACUUAAGUUGGUUAUUACUUUGUGACUGUCAGGAUUUGAACCGGACCGUAUUUAUAAACGAAGUGCAAGUGCUUCAAGAGUAAUAAACAUUUUAUUUUUAAGGUAGGUUCUUUCUUGUAUCAUUUUAAAUGGGGGUGGGGGCUUCAGAGAGGGCUGUUCCUGUCAGGUCCAGAACAAUCACAUCCCUGGUACCUAUGGGCUAUGGUACUGGAGAGAAAAGGGUACCAUCAUGUUUUCAGAAUUUUGGCAUUGUCUUGGUAUCAGAAUCAGUCCCGUGUUGGUUCUGGUGACAUCCAUAGUGUACACACACACAUAUACACACACGAACGGACACACACACACAUUUCCCCUACGCUGUGUAUAGUACCCUUUGCUUUUCUUCCUUUGCAUGUUGUAAUAAAAUAUGCAUUCAGCCGCAUAUUCUCUCCAUCUUUCCAUCAGACCACCUGCUCCUGUACUCAACUGCGACUACGUGGAGUCCAUCUCCUACCCCAGGCCCACAUUCUCCUCCCAGGCACCUGCCAGGCCUCAAUCUCGACCUUCAUUUAAAGGUCUCUUUAAGAGGCAGUGACCCUGGAUAACUGCGUUUUUUUUCGUUCCUUUUUCUUUUAAUUGAGUUGGUGGCAUGUUCAUUUUUUCUGUUUGUUUAUUUUUUGCCCUUUGUCAAAUGACAGUGGAACUCCCCCAAGAAGCUCUGAUUUCCAAAGAUCUCAGAUGAUGGCAGUGUGGUGGAUCCCGACGGCAUCAGAAGACAACAGCAGCUCAUAAGAUUCUGGGGGAAAAGCGCUUUUUGGUGCUGGUCUGCGGUAAAAUGCCUGCAUGCCUAAAUGAAGUUUUAUGGGUGAUUUUUUUUUAUUUUUUUUUAAUUCUUCUUCUACCCUUGGUCUCCAUUUGAGGAAGUACAGCACAGCGGACCUCUAUGUGAUUAAUUUCCUCAGGACUAAUUGGGUGCUUUCUCCACUCCAAAGGACAAUACAAUAAACAAGUUUAUAGAUGUGUAAACAUGCUGUGGUACUUUGGAUGACAAUGUGGACUUAUGGUUAGAGAGAAUCUGAAGAUCUAACAUGUCCCUGGUAGUCAUCAGAUAUAACACAGUAUUCCGGAAAAGAACUGUGUCUCACACGAAAGAAUUUAACUGUUGGCUUGCACAUUAACCCCCCCCGACAGUACUGUGACAUGUGAUUUCAUGUGACCUUUGACAAGACAUCCCAGAAUAUCAGGAUCUGGAAUGGAUUCCGGCUGUAAAGAUGCGAAUGUGUAUCUCUCAAUUUUAUACCUAAAAAGGGAUCGAAGCCUCAGUCUUUUGUAUAGUUUUUUUUUUUCCGUGAUGGUCAAAUUUACUGUGUAUUUAAAAUAGCUCUGACUAUGCAUUUGCUGCCGUGCUUUUUUAUAAACUACUGUACAUCCUUUACUUGGGACUAGUUAAAGUGAUCAAGUUUAAGCAAGUCUAUGGGACCAAGUACAGACACGCUCUCAGAUUAAACUCCUUUUCAACUUUUCAUUUUGUUGUUGUACGUAUUGAGUGACAUCAUUUUGCAUUGGCAAUCAGUGAUCUAUGUUUUCACUUUGUAAGUAGACGUCCUUGGAUUUACUGCCUUAUGUGAGACACAGGAUUGGACAGACCUUGUGCCAUUUCUUUUGAUUUACUGUGGAUAUUAACUGUAAACUUUAUGCCACAGUCAUAAUUUGGUUUACAGUGGUCACCAGCACAGUUAAUCUUUUGUAUACUUUGUUAUAACCUUCAGUGAAAAGAUACAAUAUGAUGAAUACACCACCUAGUGGACAUAAUUAAAACUAAAAACAAAAAAAAAGUUAUUCCCAACAAAUACAUAUUUUUGUGUGAUGUUUUAUUUGGCCUUGACUAAACUAGACUAAACAAGGAUGUGUCUGUAGCUUUUCAGCAGGGCAUAGGGAAAGUAUUGGCUUUCAGAAUUUUCACAUCUAGACAGAGUGCAGUCUAUUGUGCUUGAUACUCGUGUAUUUUGAUAUCCAUGUUACUCAGAAUUCCAGGGAAUUUUUAAAACUGCUUGUCAUGAUUAUGGGGCAGACUUCAAACAUCUUUCAAAUGAACAGUGCAAGCAAUUUGGAUACAGUAGAGUCCGAUUCUCUGAAUUGGUAAAAUUCCUCUGAUCAUGAAACAUCUUCAAAUAUGUUGAUUCAGCUAUGCUUAUUCACCUGUCUGUGUGUUAUUCCUGUUUAACAUCAGUAUUGUUUGAAUGGCAGGGCUCAAUUAUAAAUUAACAUUUGUUGUAAAAA